rnacentral:rRNA from 1 species
AACGAACGCUGGCGGCAUGCCUAACACAUGCAAGUCGAACGAUCCCUUCGGGGAUAGUGGCGCACGGGUGCGUAACGCGUGCGAACCUGCCCUUAGGUUCGGAAUAACUCAGAGAAAUUUGAGCUAAUACCGGAUAAUGUCUUCGGACCAAAGAUUUAUCGCCUUUGGAUGGGCCCGCGUUGGAUUAGCUAGUUGGUGGGGUAAAGGCCUACCAAGGCGACGAUCCAUAGCUGGUCUGAGAGGAUGAUCAGCCACACUGGGACUGAGACACGGCCCAGACUCCUACGGGAGGCAGCAGUGGGGAAUAUUGGACAAUGGGCGAAAGCCUGAUCCAGCAAUGCCGCGUGAGUGAUGAAGGCCUUAGGGUUGUAAAGCUCUUUUACCCGGGAUGAUAAUGACAGUACCGGGAGAAUAAGCCCCGGCUAACUCCGUG